rnacentral:rRNA from 1 species
GACGAACGCUGGCGGCGUGCUUAACACAUGCAAGUCGAACGGUGAAGCGCCUUCCUUUUUGGUGGGUGUGGAUGAGUGGCGAACGGGUGAGUAACACGUGAGUAACCUGCCCCCUUCUUCUGGAUAACCGCAUGAAAGUGUGGCUAAUACGGGAUAUUCUGGGUCUGUCGCAUGAUGGGUCUGGGAAAGAUAUUGUUUCGGUGGGGGACGGGCUCGCGGCCUAUCAGCUUGUUGGUGGGGUGAUGGCCUACCAAGGCGGUGACGGGUAGCCGGCCUGAGAGGGUGGACGGUCACACUGGGACUGAGACACGGCCCAGACUCCUACGGGAGGCAGCAGUGGGGAAUAUUGCACAAUGGGCGCAAGCCUGAUGCAGCGACGCCGCGUGAGGGGUGGAGGCCUUCGGGUUGUGAACCUCUUUCGCCAGUGAAGCAGGCCUGCCUCGUUUGUGGGUGGGUUGACGGUAGCUGGAUAAGAAGCGCCGGCUAACUACGUG